rnacentral:misc_RNA from 1 species
AACCAUAGAAACCUGCGGAGUACCUGCGGAGGGAUCAUUACACAAUACAAUAUGAAGGCUGUCCGCAGCUGGAGUAUUUUAUUACCCUUGUCUUUUGCGCACUUGUUGUUUCCUGGGCGGGUUCGCUCGCCACCAGGACCACCAAAUAAACCUUUUUUAUGCAGUUGCAAUCAGCGUCAGUACAAACAAUGUAAAUCAUUACAACUUUCAGCAACGGAUCU